rnacentral:lncRNA from 1 species
GGGGCUGCCUCUGGAAUGCACACCAGGGCUUGUCCACACACACUCCCCGGCCCUCUGCGCCUCUUUAGGGAGGUUCCUGCUGCUGGAUCUGCUGCCUUCUUCACCUUGAGAGUGCAUUUAUGUAACAAGAAAACACCUGGGUGUUUUCACAGCUCUGCCCUCAUCAUGAGACCAUGCCCAGGCUAGUCUGCUGGAAGGAAGUCAGAGGCACACGGAAGAGAGCCACAUUCAGCCAAGGCCAUUCUAGACCAGUUGUUCCCUGUCACUUCACUAAUUGGCCACAGCACAAGGUACACGGAUGGAGCUGGAAGCCAUUAUCCUCAGCAAACUAAUGUAGGAACAGAAAACCAAAUAUUGCAUGUUCUUACUUAUAAGUGGGAGCUGAACAACGAGAACACAUGGACACAGGGAGGGAAACAACACACACUGGGGCCUGUCCAGCAGUAAGGUUGAGGCAGGGAAAGCAUUAGGAAAAAUAGCUAUGCAUGCUGGGCUGAAUACUGGGUGAUGGAUUGAUAGGUGCAGCAAACCACCAUGGCAUAUGUUUACCUUUGUAAGAAACCAGCACAUCCUGCACAUGUACCCUGGAACUUAAAAUAAAAAUUAAAAUGUUUUUUAAAAAAGUCAUGAUGUUUUCUCAGCAGCCCAGUUUACUUUUCCAGACCCCUCUGGCAUGUGUUACUCCAGAAAAAGGCCGGUGUGUGUGAA